rnacentral:lncRNA from 1 species
UAGUCAAAGUACUGAGAACUGACUGUUGAAUGCCCAGCCCUAAGUGAGACUUUUAUAUGAUUCAUUUCAGGACCCAUGGAACAUGCCAGAAGAGAGGAGCAGAAAGAUCUUAACAGGUGAAGGGAUGGAUGCUUUGGAAUCCUGUCUUCUGCAUGUGACAUAGUCCUUGGAACCCUGUCUUCUGCAUGUGACAUAGUCCUUGGAACCCUGUCUUCUGCAUGUGACAUAGUCCUUGNNNNNNNNNNAAUUCAUGAUCUCACAGAAGCUGUGGAUACUUACACAAGACCUGUAAAAUGAUUCUUUUUUUUUUUUUUAUUUACGACAUUAAAAUAGGAGAAUAGAGAUUAGUUAGGACUAGCAAGUGGCUCAACAGAGAUAAAAGGGAGACAAGAGAGGAUGAAGUUUGUAAAUAUGAUCACAGUACACUGAAUAUGUUUAUGAAAUUGUCAAGUUUUUUUUUUGGUCCGGAGACAGGGUUUCUCUGUGUAGCCCUGGCUGUCCUGGAACUCACUCUGUAGACCAGGAUGGCCUUGAGCCCAGAAAUCCACCUGCCUCUGCCUCCCAAGUGCUGGGAUUAAAGGCAUUCACCACCACUGCCCUGUGUCAAAAUUUUUCAAACUAAAAAAAAAGUCAAGGUUAUCCUUAGCUACAAAGUGAAUUUGUGGUCAGCCUGGGAUACAUGAGAUCAUCCUCAAAUAAAAAAAAAUUUAAAAAUUAAAGUAAAGUUUGAGUUCCUGCUAGGAACUACUUAUCUCAUAAUAGUAAUAGUAAAAACAUUCAACUACUGCAUAGGCCUGGCUCCUAGAGUAUCCUGCACUGGAUUCCUGGUGAUGAGCAAUGCGGAUUAAAGAUUAUGACAGCAGCAAAGUGUUUCCCGGAACAAUGUUUCACAUGUGCCCCAGGGCAAUUCAGCUCUCUUUGAUUUCUCCUUCUGCAGCCCCUGGGGAUCAAAGGGGCUGCAGAAGGAGAAAUCAAAGAGAGCUGAAUUGCCUGGUACCUACAGUGGUCAGAAGAAGGCAUGAGAUCACCUGGAGCCUGGGUUAUGAAUUGUAAGCCACCAUAUGUGUGGUUGUGAGCCAUGUGGAAAUGACUGGUGAGGCAGGGCAGGGGAGGGAGGAUGAUGGGAGGGAAAGGGGGAAGAAGAGGAAGUCCCUUCAAAGGCAUGAGCGAUGGGCAGGGCAUGCCUACAAUCCCAGAACUCAGGAUGUGAGGACAGGAGGAUCAGGGAGUACAGCAAAUUCAAAUCUAGCCUGAGCUACAUGAGAAAUCUGUCCGCAAGCAAACAAAACAAAACAAAAAAAUACAAAGCCAUAAACAAUCAGUGCAAUUAUAUUAUUAUUUAAGUAUCCGAUGCUGCAAACAAAUUGCAUUCUACAAAUUAGAACUGAACUACUAUUCUAGUCAAGAGAAUAUUCCUGAGAAUUAAUUUAGGUCAGUGCUAGGAUUCCCACAAUGCCUGACUACCACUGUCAACACAAUAUGCUAUUAAAGAGAAGGUGCCACCUCCUCCAGUUUCCCUACAGUGAACCACUGGCUCUAGGAAUGCAUGUGCAGACUGGGAAAGUACAAAGCUCUGUUUUUUAGGUCCAGGUUUCUUCUGCACACUUGCCGUGGGCAAGCUCUUUGAGCUCUGAUUUCUCAUCUGUGAACUUAAGACACAGUAAGAAGGGCUGAGAAUGUAGCUCAGGUAAUAGAGUACACUCACAAAGCCUGGGGUACAAUCCACAACAAUAGACAGGCAUGCAUACACAGAGAGAGAGAAAGAGAGAGAGAGAGAGAGAAAGAGAGAGAGAGAGAUGCACACAUUAAUUUAACAUUUUAAAGACUCUACAUAAUCGUAUAAAAUUCUGCAACGUGCCUUGCUAUGUACUGUGUCCUAGAUUAAAUGAUGCAUUAUAUGAAACAGUAUCAAUCAUACGCAAACUAUUUGAUAGUCAUCCUUCCCCUGUGUGUGUGUGUGUGUGUGUGUGUGUGUUGGGACUGAAACUAACACCUCGUGCCUGUGAGGCAAGUGCUACAUGCUGCCAUGAGCUACAGCCACCGCCCUCCUGCCUUGUGAAUAAAUGGGGCUCAGCGACAGGCUAUCCUUACUGC